rnacentral:rRNA from 1 species
GACGAACGCUGGCGGCGUGCUUAACACAUGCAAGUCGAACGGAAAGGCCCUGCUCUUGCGGGGUGCUCGAGAGGCGAACGGGUGAGUAACACGUGUGUAAACCGCCCCUGUCUUUGGGAUAACUUUAGGAAACUGGGGCUAAUAUCGGAUAGGAGCUCCUGCUGCAUGGUGGGGGUUGGAAAGUUUCGGCGGUUGGGGAUGGACUCGCGGCUUAUCCGCUUGUUGGUGAGGUAGUGGAUUACCAAGGCUUUGACGGAUAGCCGGCCUGGGAGGGUGACCGGGGUCAUGGGUACUAAGAGACGGCCCAGACGCCUACGGUAGGCAGCAGGGGAGAAUAUUGCACAAUGAGCGGGAGCCUGAUGCAGCGACGCUGGGUGCGGAAUGACGGGCUACGAGUGAAAAACCGCUUUCGCCGUUGACAAGGCGGGAGUGACGGUAAUGGAUAAGAAAGCACCGGCUAACUACGUG